UUUGAAUUCAUAAUCAAUAGACAAAAAAACUGGGCAGGAAUUGAUUUAUGAAAACACCAGGUCUGAGAACUCGAUCGACUUCCAUCAGGUACAUCCAGUCUGCAAAUUAAAUGUGGUUUAAACAUGAAGGGACUAUUUAAUUCAUUGUCUAAAACUUGAGGAACUGAUUUAUAGCUUGAGGAGUGGCAGAAUUACACUCAUAAUUUCCCUCCGAACGUAUCCAGUUCAUCAUCGUCAUCGAUGGCGGCAGCUACAAAUUCCAUCCUCCUCAAACUCAAACCCAAAAUAAAAAUAAAAAUCUGCAAUCCACUUUUUGGCUAUCCUCGCAGUAGCAGUAGUGCUUCAGCCUCUAUCCCACACUUGUUCUCCACAACAACACUCCCAUAUGCAGAUGCUGAUUCUGAUUGUUCAAGCGAGAUUAAAGCCACCACAGACGCAAACCCUAACUUCAUUCACCCCUCCGCCGACGUCCACCCUAACGCUAUCAUUGGCCACGGUGUUUCAGUUGGUCCAUUUUGCACAAUCGGGUCUUCAGUAAAGCUUGGAAAUGGAUGUCGAUUAUAUCCUGGAAGCCAUGUUUUCGGAAAUACUGAGAUUGGGGAUCACUGUCUUUUGAUGCCUGGAGCUGUGGUUGGUGAUCAUCUUCCUGGACGUACAGUUUUGGGAUGCAAUAAUGUUAUCGGUCAUCAUGCUGUCAUCGGUGUCAAAUGCCAGGAUUUGAAAUACAAGCCAGGGGAUGAAUGUUUUCUUCACAUUGGAGACAAUAACGAGAUUAGAGAACAUACUUCAAUUCACCGAUCUUCAAAAUCAAGUGAUAAAACGGUUAUUGGUGAUAACAAUCUUAUCAUGGGCUCCUGUCAUAUUGCUCAUGACUGCAAUAUUGGCAACAAUAACAUUUUUGCUAACAAUACUCUUCUAGCAGGCCAUGUUGUUGUGGAAGAUUACACUCACACUGCUGGAGCCAUUGUUGUUCAUCAAUUUUGCCAUAUUGGUUCCUUUUCUUUUGUUGGUGGUGGAUCUGUGGUUUCACAAGAUGUCCCAAAGUACACGAUGGUGGUUGGAGAAAGAGCUGAGCUUCGCGGUUUGAAUUUGGAAGGUCUUCGGCGUAAUGGAUUCACAGCCACAGAGCUACCAACUUACACUGAAUGCUUUUGAUAGCAGGACUGAUUCUGCGUCCAUCUAAACAAGGUGCAAUCAUGUGACUACCAAUUCAUUCAUUCAUUCAUUUUUUUGGUUGCUUUUACUUAUUCAUUCAUUCAUUCAUCCAUUCAUCAUCAUCAUCAUCAUCAUCAUCAUCAUCAUCAUUAUUUUUUUGGGGGGAGGGGGGUGUUGUUCUAGAUACCAUUGUUUUCUUUUACAAAUUUAUCUGUCUCUAAUAAAGCUUGACUCUCUCUCUCUCUUUUUUUCAUUCUUUAGUAUAUAAUUUCUGGCUCCUUUCAUUCUUGAAACUCCCUGUGAACCUUUCUAACAUAGUGUUGUCGAUAAUUUUUAUUUAUUAAUGUUGUGAUUUGCUGCUACAAAUUUCACCUCAUUUCCUGCAACCUUCUGCAAUGGUGUAAAUUGUUUAAUAAUUGGGCAAAGUAUUAAUCUUCUCAUUUCCUUCAAUCCUUCUAUUUCAUUCUCUAAGAAUAGAGUGAGUGCGUUGGCCAAUAUUGUAUGGUUGGACACCUAGCUCCCAUGCCAUAUUUAUGCUAUUAUAUAAAAAAGUUAAUCAAAUUGGCUUAUAUAUACUUCAUGGGUCCAUUGGCAUCCAAGAAGUAUAAAUUGUGGUACUAAGGAGAGCUCUCAUCUCUUAUUAAACUUAUGCAUGCCUCUUGUUGUUUGAGGAUGUGUCAGGCUUUCAUUUGAAAUCUUUUCACAUUUAAACUGUUUGGGAACGUGGUGCAAACCGUGUUCUCAAAAAAUUCAAAUAUUUUUUUUUUGCUAAAAUUUAAUAUGGUUUGUACGUUUUGGAUCGUUUUGAUGUGCUGAUGUCAAAAAUGAUUUUUAAAAAAUGAAAAACAUCAUUAGCAUGCAUUGCGGCACGGAAAAUUAUUUGAAAAGCAACCACUACCACACUGCCAAACACAUUCAAAAUUCUUAACCAUUUAAGAUAUAGAUUUGGUGAAUUCUGCUUUUCUGAAUAAUGAACCUUAUAUUUCUAAUAUUUUUCACCGACAUCUUUACCUGCUUAAUAUUUUGAAUUAAUCUCUACGCCCCCUUUCCUUUUUCUGUCACAUAAAUGAUUAAAUUGUAUAUUUUUGGUCAAUGAUCUAGAUUAAAAGUUUGAGAACAGCUUACAGAAACAUAUUCAUGCCUGUUGAUUCUAAUUCUACAAGUUUUGAAGAACGCAUUACCAAAGUGGAAGAGGACAAAGAACUGGGUAAGAUAACUGCUGUGUGUACCAUGAUACAGUCUCUUCGUG